rnacentral:rRNA from 1 species
CCUACGGGAGGCAGCAGUGGGGGAUAUUGGACAAUGGGGGGAACCCUGAUCCAGCGACGCCGCGUGAGUGAAGAAGUAUUUCGGUAUGUAAAGCUCUGUCAGCAGGGAAGAAAGAAAUGACGGUACCUGACCAAGAAGACCCGGCUAACUACGUGCCAGCAGCCGCGGUAAUACGUAGGGGGCAAGCGUUAUCCGGACUUACUGGGUGUAAAGGGUGCGCAGGCGGAUUUUUAAGUCAGCGGUCAAAUCGUGGGGCUCAACCCCAUCCAGAUGUUGAAAUUGGGGGUCUAGAGUGUGCGAGAGGUAUGCGGAAUGCGUGGUGUAGCAGUGAAAUGCAUAGAUAUCACGCAGAACCCCGAUGGCGAAGGCAGCAUACCGGUGCACAACUGACGCUCAGGCACGAAAGCGUGGGUAUCGAACAGGAUUAGAUACCCCAGUAGUC